AAGGAACUCUACUAGAUGACCUGUUAUUGUCCUUCUAAAUUCCUGAUAUGUCUGGGUCUGAGCCAAAGCAAACGAGGGCAUCACUCACGAAGAAUAUGAACCUGUGUGAAGUGUUGGGAUAUGACACUGAACAGCUCAGGCAGUCUUUCUCCAACAAUGGUUGCAGCAGCAAGUGCCAUUAGAGAAAUACACAAGAAAAAGCUCAGUGAUUGAACAUGAAGAAGAGAGGAAAAGGAAGAAAGGGAAAGGAUUACCAAAGGACAUGAGGAAAUUUUGGUGGUAAAGGGCAUGUUUAUUAUUUUGGUUAUGGUUAAGA